CAGCCGCCGCGGGAAUACGAAGGGUGCAAGCGUUAAUCGGAAUUACUGGGCGUAAAGCGUGCGUAGGCGGUGAGUUAAGUCUGCUGUGAAAUCCCCGGGCUCAACCUGGGGGCCGCAUUUGAGACGUGGCGACUGGAGUGUGAGAGAGGGUUGUGGAAUUCCCAGUGUAGAGGUGAAAUUCGUAGAGAUCGGGAGGAACAUCAGUGGCGAAGGCGGCCAUCUGGGACAACACUGACGCUGAGGCACGAAAGCGUGGGGAGCAAACAGGAUUAGAUACCCCUGUAGUCCCUGUCUCUUAUAC
rnacentral:rRNA from 1 species